UGGGGAAUAUUGCACAAUGGGGGAAACCCUGAUGCAGCGACGCCGCGUGAACGAAGAAGGUAUUCGUAUCGUAAAGUUCUGUCCUAUGGGAAGAUAAUGACAGUACCAUAGAAGAAAGCUCCGGCUAAAUACGUGCCAGCAGCCGCGGUAAUACGUAUGGAGCGAGCGUUGUCCGGAAUUAUUGGGCGUAAAGGGUACGCAGGCGGUUUAAUAAGUCGAAUGUUAAAGAUCGGGGCUCAACCCCGCAAAGCAUUGGAAACUGAUAAACUUGAGUAGUGGAGAUGAAAGUGGAAUUCCUAGCGUAGUGGUGAAAUACGUAGAUAUUAGGAGGAAUACCAGUAGCGAAGGCGACUUUCUGGACACAAACUGACGCUGAGGUACGAAAGCGUGGGGAGCAAACAGG
rnacentral:rRNA from 1 species